UUGUCCGCCAUGGUUGCGUCUUCAAGAUCUUGCCACUGCGUCCGUUGCUUUGCUUCUUCUUCCUAGUCACAUGCUGCCCGCCAUGGCUGCAUCUACAGCUCUUCAAAAUGAUCAAAAUAUCCCAUCACUGAUGUCCGUCAUGGCUGCGUCUCCAAGCUCUUCAAACGAGCACGAGAUCCCGUCGUAUUGUUGCCCGUUGUUUCUUCUUCUCCACUGUCGCUGCUUUCGUUGUUGCCAUGGCUGCGUCUGUGUUGCAGCUACUCGUUGCUUCUGUUUCUUCCAACUUCGUCAUCGUCCAUGGCUGCAGCUACUCGUCGCGGCCGCUGCUGCGUUUCGUCGCUAUUGCUGCUGCCCGUUGCUUCGUUUCUUCCAGCUUUAGCGUUGCUGCCCGCUGCUUCUUCUUCUUCACCACCUUGUUGUCGUGCCGCUAAUGUUUCAGCAGCGUGGCUGCUACUGCAUCAGCAGCACGCUGCUACUGCUUCAGUUCCCAUUGUCGCCAAACGCCCCUCCGUCAAGCUUCAUCUAUUGUUUAAGUUUCCGGGCAGAUUCGAGUCAUUUUGAUGCAAUAAUUGUUUCCGGACAGAUUUGUUUCCGGUCGAGUUCGUCGUCGCUUCGAUCCGGUACACUACUCUGAAUCAUUUCAACAUAUGUAUUGAAGAUGAAAUGAAAUGGCCGGAAGAUUUAAGGUUUUUUUUAAUUAUAGAAUAUUCGCAUUUUAGUUAAAUAUUCAUUAUGUGUCUCAUGUUAUGUAAAUGGUAGAAGUAUUUAUUAUGUGAAGUAUUAAACUGCGGGACUAGUGGAUGGGUGUCAGUAUGAACACCAUAAGUAUUAGUUUCGGCUUUGUUAAAUUUUUAGCUUAAAAUCACAUUCAAAUCGUUAGUAAAUAUUCAAUACGGGAAACCGACUUAAUUUGAGGGAAGGUUAGUAAACUCUAGAUUUGAAUUUGCAAAUU